rnacentral:tRNA from 1 species
GCCGGAUUAGCUCAGUUGGUAGAGCAGAGGACUGAAAAUC